rnacentral:rRNA from 1 species
AUCAUUACAGAGUUACUACUCCAAACCCAUUGUGAACCUUACCUAUGUUCUGUUGCCUCGGCGGCGGGUCAGCGCCCCUCCGAAAAGAGGACGAUGCCCCCCGCCGGCAGCACCAAACUCUUGAAUUUUACAGCGGAUUACAGUUCUGAUUGAAACAAAAACAAGUUAAAACUUUCAACAACGGAUCUCUUGGUUCUGGCAUCGAUGAAGAACGCAGCGAAAUGCGAUAAGUAAUGUGAAUUGCAGAAUUCAGUGAAUCAUCGAAUCUUUGAACGCACAUUGCGGCGGCAGUAAUCUGCCGGCAUGCCUGUCCGAGCGUCAUUUCAACCCUCGAACCUCUGUUUCGUUAGCGAAGCUCAGGGUCGGUGUUGGGGCGCUACGGCGAGUCUUCGCGACCCCGUAGGCCCUGAAAUACAGUGGCGGUCCCGCCGCGGUUGCCUUCUGCGUAGUAAGUCUCUUUUUGCAAGCUCGCAUUGGGUCCGGCGGAGGCCUGCCGUCAAACCACUAUAACUCCAGAUGGU